ensembl:lncRNA
ACCAGUUACACAUUAAACACCAGGUGUAACCGAACCAGUUAACACAGGGUAAAACACAGGUGUAACCGAACCAGUUACACAGGGUAAAACACCAGGUGUAACCGAACCAGUUACACAGGGUAAAACACCAGGUGUAACCGAACCAGUUACACAGGGUAAAACACCAGGUGUAACCGAACCAGUUAACACAGGUAAAACACCAGGUGUAACCGAACCAGUUUAACACAGGGUAAAACACGCAGGUGUAACCGAACCAGUUACACAGGGUAAAACACCAAGUGUAACCGAACACCAGAUAGCCUACCGUGCAUAUAGGUACAUUCAGAUUUCUAGGUUUAGAACAUGUUCAUGUAUUAGAGAAAGCCAGUAAGGACAUAUCCCAACAUUAAUGUCCCCAAUAAUUUUUUUUAUGAGAAAUCCAAACUGAAUUAUUUUUAGCCUCACCAUACCAGUCAAAACAGGGCCUGAUGGUAUCUUUCUCAAAAUGUGACAUUUAGAAUAAAGAAAUGGUUAUUGAACAAAGGGUUUUGAGGUGACUAUUUUGCUAAAAAUAUAUAAUUAACUUUAAAUGACGCCAACUGAUUGCAAUAAGCAUAAAGUAGUAUAACGUAUACAUAAUACAACCAAACACUAACAGCAGAGCAAAUCUUAGGGAGAGAAGUUUAGACUUUUACAAACAGUGGUUGGUUCAAGUUUUCCUAAAUGAAAACAAAAAAAGGGGCCAUUAUACCUCAUUUUAAAUUACAGUAGA